rnacentral:rRNA from 1 species
GAUGAACGCUGGCGGCGUGCUUAACACAUGCAAGUCGAGCGAGAAAAGUUCUUCGGAGCUUUUCUAGCGGCGGACGGGUGAGUAACACGUGGGCAACCUGCCUCAUAGAGGGGAAUAGCCUUCCGAAAGGAAGAUUAAUACCGCAUAACAUUGUUGAAAGGCAUCUUUUAACAAUCAAAGGAGCAAUUCGCUAUGAGAUGGGCCCGCGGCGCAUUAGCUAGUUGGUGAGGUAACGGCUCACCAAGGCGACGAUGCGUAGCCGACCUGAGAGGGUGAUCGGCCACAUUGGAACUGAGACACGGUCCAGACUCCUACGGGAGGCAGCAGUGGGGAAUAUUGCACAAUGGGGGAAACCCUGAUGCAGCAACGCCGCGUGAGUGAUGAAGGUCUUCGGAUUGUAAAGCUCUGUCUUUAGGGACGAUAAUGACGGUACCUAAGGAGGAAGCCACGGCUGACUACGUGCCAGCCGCCGCGGUAACAC